rnacentral:rRNA from 1 species
GAUGAACGCUGGCGGCGUGCCUAAUACAUGCAAGUCGAGCGGACAGACGAGGAGCUUGCUCCUCUGACGUUAGCGGCGGACGGGUGAGUAACACGUGGAUAACCUACCUAUAAGACUGGGAUAACUUCGGGAAACCGGAGCUAAUACCGGAUAAUAUAUUGAACCGCAUGGUUCAAUAGUGAAAGACGGUUUUGCUGUCACUUAUAGAUGGAUCCGCGCCGCAUUAGCUAGUUGGUAAGGCAACGGCUUACCAAGGCAACGAUGCGUAGCCGACCUGAGAGGGUGAUCGGCCACACUGGAACUGAGACACGGUCCAGACUCCUACGGGAGGCAGCAGUAGGGAAUCUUCCGCAAUGGGCGAAAGCCUGACGGAGCAACGCCGCGUGAGUGAUGAAGGUCUUCGGAUCGUAAAACUCUGUUAUUAGGGAAGAACAAAUGUGUAAGUAACUAUGCACGUCUUGACGGUACCUAAUCAGAAAGCCACGGCUAACUACGUG